GAGCGGUCCUAAAAUGGGUUUUAGUUAAUCUCUUAUAAAUAUCGACGGAUUUAGGCAAAAUUUUAAGCUUAUAUUUCAGGCUAGGCCAAGCUUGAACAGACGUAAAACAUGUUAAUAUCAUACACAGGUCCGACCCAAACUCGGCAUGAACAAUUAUAGAGACAAGGGACUGCUAAUCCACCUUAGUGAAACAAUUAUUUACAGCAUAAUCAGAUACUUCGGCCCAUUUAUCCGAAGCAAGUGCAUAAGUUCAGGGUAUCAACUCUUCCAAAGGUUUAUCGGCACACCACGUAUCAAGCCAAAGCAACACGUCGUUACCAUUACCCACAAUCCAUCUAAAUGAGUGAUUGUGACAAUGAAUUUGCCCACUUCGGCAUUACCAGAGACAUUAUUCCUACGGGAAGUCUUUGGUACCCAACAACCAUACUUGGCCGAGAUGACUUUCCUCCAAAGCACGCCACCACCAUUUAGCCAAUAAGGCUUUGUUUUUGUUGGACAUAUUAGCAAUACCAACCCUCCCAAUUUUUUAGGUUGACAUACGAGCCCUCUCGAAUCUUGUCAAUCUUAUAAAUAAUAGAAGUCAUGAAGAUCGACACAUGAUAUAAUGAGAGCGGUGAAAGAAGUACAGUUAGUAAAAGUCACCCUUGCAUGUUCCCG
rnacentral:lncRNA from 1 species